CCCUGCGCGCCUGCAACAGGUGCCCCCGCCACGCGUGGCCGAGGGGUGAAACAGGGAAGCCGGUCCAUUUAAAGCCGGCGCUGCCCCCGCAACGGUAGGUGAGACAAGGGUCGCCUACGCCACUGUGCUCCGGCACGGGAAGGCGCGACCCGCAGGCCAAUGGCCUGGCUCACGAGCCCGGAGACCGGCCUGUCGCGCUUCCACGGC
rnacentral:ncRNA from 2 species